rnacentral:rRNA from 1 species
GAUGAACGCUAGCGGCAGGCUUAAUACAUGCAAGUCGAGGGGCAGCGCAGUGUAGCAAUACAUGGGCGGCGACCGGCAAACGGGUGCGGAACACGUACGCAACCUACCUAUAACUGAUGAAUAGCCCUCCGAAAGGAGGAUUAAUACAUCGUAACAUAAUGAAGUGGCAUCACUUUAUUAUUAUAGCUCCGGCGGUUUUGGAUGGGCGUGCGCCUGAUUAGGUAGUUGGCGGGGUAACGGCCCACCAAGCCUGCGAUCAGUAACUGGUGUGAGAGCACGACCAGUCACACGGGCACUGAGACACGGGCCCGACUCCUACGGGAGGCAGCAGUAAGGAAUAUUGGUCAAUGGACGCAAGUCUGAACCAGCCAUGCCGCGUGAAGGAUGAAGGUCCUCUGGACUGUAAACUUCUCUUAUAUGGGACGAAACCUCUUAUUCUUAAGAGACUGACGGUACCAUAGGAACAAGCACCGGCUAACUCCGUGCCAGCCGCCGCGGUAAUAC